rnacentral:lncRNA from 1 species
AGAGGAGGAAGAGAGAGAGAAAGGGAACGGGAGAGAUCUCAUGAGCGCUCCCAUGAAAAGUCUAGGGAUCGAGACCAUAGAGAAGAUAGACAUCACAAAGAUCGUGACAGGGAGAAGGACCGGGAGAGGGAGAGAGAACGUGGACGAGACAAGGAUCGUGACCGAGACCGUGCACGUGAUCGUGAUCGAGGCCGGGACCGUGGUCGUGAUUAUGAUCGUGACCGUGACAAAGACCGUAGUAGGGAUCAUGAUCGUGAUCGCCAUCGUGAGAGGGAUUAUGAAGUUGGUGACAUUGAUCGUGGGCAUUCCCGUGAUAGAGACUCUGAUU